GGCGGUCAAAAUCAGCGCCUUCACGUGGCGACCGCCGUGAGUAACCAAAAAUUUGGCGAAACUAAGCUGAA
rnacentral:ribozyme from 1 species